AAAAAAUUAGGUUAAAGGUAGACCAGAGGCCUUCAAAGUUUUUAGAGUUGGUUCAACUCCAACAUUUUUUG
rnacentral:tRNA from 1 species